UACAGGGGGUGCAAACGUUGCUCGGAAUUAUUGGGCGUAAAGCGCGCGUAGGCGGCCACUUAAGUCGGAUGUGAAAGCCCCUGGCUCAACUGGGGAAGUGCACCCGAAACUGAAUGGCUUGAAUGCAAAAGAGGGUCGCGGAAUUCCCGGUGUAGAGGUGAAAUUCGUAGAUAUCGGGAGGAACACCGGUGGCGAAGGCGGCGACCUGGGUUGACAUUGACGCUGAGGCGCGAAAGCGUGGGGAGCAGACAGG
rnacentral:rRNA from 1 species